UGAGGAAUAUUGGUCAAUGGGCGGGAGCCUGAACCAGCCAAGUCGCGUGAGGGAAGACGGUCCUAUGGAUUGUAAACCUCUUUUGUCGGGGAGCAAGAAAGGGUAUGCAUACCCUUACUGAGAGUACCCGAAGAAAAAGCAUCGGCUAACUCCGUGCC
rnacentral:rRNA from 1 species